GAUGAACGCUGGCGGCGUGCCUAAUACAUGCAAGUCGAGCGGUAAGGCUUUCACAGUUUGCUGGAUCGAGAGAAAUUUUUCUCUCAUAAGAUCGAGCGAAGUGUGAAAGUACACGAGCGGCGGACGGCUGAGUAAAGCGUAGGAACGUACCCAAAGUGAGGAAUAACUGCCCGAAAGGGUAGCUAAUGCCGCAUGUGCUCUUCGGAGGAAAGCCUUCGGGCGCUGGGAGCGGCCUACGUCCGAUUAGCUUGUUGGUGAGGUAAUAGCUCACCAAGGCGACGAUCGGGUAGCUGGUCUCAGGAGGAUGAUCAGCCAGACUGGGACUGAGACACGG
rnacentral:rRNA from 1 species